rnacentral:misc_RNA from 1 species
CGAGUGCCGGAGGACUCUGUGUUGUGAGUGCUAUAAACAUAAAAUUUUAUGCAUGUGUAUUAUGAAGGGUUUUAAUUUUUCACAAACAUAUAGUGGAGCGGAGUUUUAAACAAUAAAACAGCAUGUUUCGCUUUUUUAGCAAACGGUUUGGAAAGUCUUCUCAGAAUAUUAAAAAGAGCCAGUGUGAUGAAAAUGCUAGAUACAGCAAAAAUAUAAUUCCGUGUAAAGUAAUUUUACUCGAUGGCUCUAUCCUCAGUGUGGAAGUAUCGAUGCUGGAAGGAAGAGAACAGAUUGAUUGCUGAAGUCCAGGCAAAGGUUGCUGUAAGAAGA